rnacentral:rRNA from 1 species
UACGUAGGGUGCGAGCGUUAAUCGGAAUUACUGGGCGUAAAGCGUGCGCAGGCGGUGAUGUAAGACAGUUGUGAAAUCCCCGGGCUCAACCUGGGAACUGCAUCUGUGACUGCAUCGCUGGAGUGCGGCAGAGGGGGAUGGAAUUCCGCGUGUAGCAGUGAGAUGCGUAGAUAUGCGGAGGAACACCGAUGGCGAAGGCAAUCCCCUGGGCCUGCACUGACGCUCAUGCACGAAAGCGUGGGGAGCAAACAGG